ACACGUAGGUGGCAAGCGUUGUCCGGAAUUACUGGGUGUAAAGGGUGCGUAGGCGGGAUGGCAAGUCAGGUGUGAAAACGAUCGGCUCAACCGGUCGCGUGCACUUGAAACUGCGAUUCUUGAGUGGUGGAGAGGUAAGCGGAAUUCCUAGUGUAGCGGUGAAAUGCGUAGAUAUUAGGAGGAACACCAGUGGCGAAGGCGGCUUACUGGACACUAACUGACGCUGAGGCACGAAAGCAUGGGGAGCAAACAGGAUUAGAUACCCUGGUAGUCCAUGCCGUAAACGAUGAUUACUAGGUGUAGGAGGUAUCGACCCCUCCUGUGCCGGAGUUAACACAAUAAGUAAUCCACCUGGGGAGUACGGCCGCAAGGUUGAA
rnacentral:rRNA from 1 species